UUCCCAACCAGUAUGACAAACCGUAGCGAUCGUUCUUGACUCAUUCAUAGUGUAAUUUGUGUGUUUACAACGCGUAUAUUGAGUUUUCUCUAUGUAUAUAAUGUAUUCUAUUUAAUCAACUUAAUGUUUUCUACUUGACUACGUUCCAUCAAGAAAAGAUAUAACGCGAGUAUGGGCUUGUGCUUCUCAUUUGACUGCGGCGACUGCGACGUGUGUUGCAAUCCUUGUUGCAUGGCACUGAGUGCCUGCUGUCUCAUACCUUGCCUGUGCCCGAACGCCUGCGGACAACAGCAGCAACCUCCACAGACUGUCGUUGUACACCAUCCACCGGUGGUAGUUGAGCAACCACCCCCACCGCCACACGGAUAUCCUUACGGCCCUCCGCCUGGUGCCUACCCGGGUUACCCGCAUCCAGAGUAUCAGCCACAACCGGGAUAUCCGCCUCAUCCAGGAUAUCAACAACCCCACCCUCUGUACAGAUGAAAAGUAAAGUCUAAUUUAGGAUGGGUUGUAACAUCUCGUGUCGUCCCUGCUGCUGUUGUUGCAUUCCUUGUUUAUGCUGUGACUGUUGUGAACCUGAACGUCCCAGGGUGGUGCAUCAUCACCAUGUAACCACGGUACCAGUGGGACAGCCGCAAAUCAUUAUAAAUCAACAACCACCUCCUUAUAGGUAGUUUAAGUAUCAUAAACGUUUGCGCAGAUGAUGGACAGCCCUCGAUGUACAUUUUUGCCCGUAUAAGUAUUCUAAAUAUUACUUGAUAAUUCCUAACGAAAAUAUAGUUAUUGGCCAUUGUUUAAUUAUAUACUAUUUAAAUUUAAUCUAAAACUUUAAUGAUCGACAUAUUUUAAACUUUAAUGCCAUUCAUAGUAAAGACGACCUUUUCAUUAUUUGCAAUUUUUCAAUUAUUUUCAAUGGUUCUGAAUAGUACUUUAAAAAAUACACUGUAAAAACAAGUAAUAAUUAUUAAUUAAAUCUUGCACAUAAUUAUACCACUAAAAUUUUUGCAACUAUUUACUUCAUGUUUUACUUUUGACGGUUUUAAACACCUUUUGUCAUUACAAUAAAAAAAAAAAACUUCUGAUAGUUCAAUAAGCAUAUUAGUGGAUUAUUAAUGUUCAAUAUUAUAGCACUUAAAAAAAAACUUUGAUGAAUAUUGGAAAUAGUAUUUGAAUACUAAUAAAUAAUUCAAACGUUGCUAGAUUUUGAUAUAUAAUGAUAAAGUACAAUAUUGUGUCAAAAUAAAACAAACUAAUUCAAAAUAAAAUUCCAGUGGGUUCCAGUUCUUUCCCCUUUAAGCGUUGUUGCACGUAAUUUAAUUUUGUUCAUUCCAUUAUAAAUGUAAUAAUUAUGUGCAACAAUGCACUAAGUCCAUUAAAGUGCUUGGCUUACUUACACAAAAAAUAAAUAUUUAUUACUAGCAAAAUGUCACACGUCUGCGCAGGCGUACUUUAUAAACCAAUUUGUAAAAAUAUUAUAAUAUAAUUUAUAAUAAAAUUUCAGAUAAAUAAAUAAAUAAUGCAAUGAUAUAUAUAAUUAUUCUAUUUUGUAAUUACUUAAAAUACCAGGGUAUAUAGAGUCUUUAAACUUUUUCAUUACUCGUAAAAUGAAUGAACUGAUAUAAAUUUAUUUUCUUAUAGCUUACUAAUUUGGAAUUUAUAGCCUAAAAUAACCACUUGAUUCAAGGCUGGUUUACUUCAUUAAAACCACAAAUCAUUCUCCGUAAGUGCUUCACCACCACAUUGUUGUAUGUUAUGCUUAGUUAUAGUAUGAGUUUUAGUAAUUAAAAUUAGGAAUUAGAGUGUAGUAAACAAGGACCGUUUGUUGUAGCUAAUAGAUAUUUCAUUAUAAAAAAAUAUUAUAAGUGUCGAUAUCACCUUCAAAUCAAUAAAUAUAUUGUUAUAUAUACAACCACUAUACUUAACCUUUUAAAAGUUAAAUACAUUUAAAAAAAUAAAUAGUGGUUGUUUAUAUUUAUAAACGCAAUUUGUAUACAGUUCACAAGGUUUUUUACAAUAAAUAAAAAUAAUUAUUUCAUAAACAAAGAUCUGAUCUACUAACUGGAAAUUUUAAAGAAGUUAAUGAUCUUUCAAGCACCGAAAUACAUAUCAAUUAUUAUAAAACUUUCGUCUAAUGAAUUUAUACUGGUAUAUUCGUAAAAAUUACCACUGUAUGGUUUUUUACUAUUAAACUGGACGUUUUCCUGAAUAUUUUUGAGCCUUCUAUACUAAUUUGAUGACUGAACAAAAAAAGUGUUAAUACGGGAGCUCAAAAUUCUGUCUCAAUUUAAAUGCCUUUUACUCACAAUGAGGUAUUAGAGUGAAAUAGUUAUCCCACAUCGGCAAAAUUACUCCAUGAUGAAUGUCACAAAUAAAAAAAAAAAGUAUUUUAGC
rnacentral:lncRNA from 1 species